GAACGCUGGCGGCGUGCCUGACACAUGCAAGUCGACGGUUCUUGUAUCUUCAAGCUUGCUUGCAGGUGCAAGGAUAGUGGCGGACGGGUGAGUAACGCGUGAACAUCUACCCAUUGAGGGGGACGAACCCGUCGAAAGGCGGGCUAAUACCGCGUAAGCCGCGAGGUGAGAGGCUGCCUAUUGGUGGCCGCCGAUGGAUGGGUUCGCGUCCUAUCAGCUGGUUGGUGGGGUAACGGCCUACCAAGGCGAAGACGGGUAGCCGGUCUGAGAGGAUGGCCGGCCACACUGGAACUGAGACACGGUCCAGACUCCUACGGGAGGCAGCAGUGGGGAAUAUUGGGCAAUGGGGGAGACCCUGACCCAGCGACGCCGCGUGUGCGAAGAAGGCCUUCGGGUUGUAAAGCACUUUUUGAGAGGAUGAGGAAGGACGGUACUCUCAGAAUAAGUCUCGGCUAACUACGUG
rnacentral:rRNA from 1 species